CAGCAGCCGCGGUAAUACGUAGGGGGCGAGCGUUGUCCGGAAUCAUUGGGCGUAAAGGGCUCGUAGGCGGCUCGGUAAGUCGAUCGUGAAAUCCCGGAGCUCAACUCCGGAACUGCGGUCGAUACUGCCGUGGCUAGAGUCAGGUAGAGGAGAGUAGAAUUCCCGGUGUAGCGGUGGAAUGCGCAGAUAUCGGGAGGAAUACCAUUUAGCGAAGGCGGCUCUCUGGGCCUGUACUGACGCUGAGGAGCGAAAGCGUGGGUAGCAAACAGGAUUAGAUACCCUGGUAGUCCACGCCGUAAACGUUGGGCACUAGGCGUGGUGGCCUGACCAAGGGCUGCUGUGCCGACGCUAACGCAUUAAGUGCCCCGCCUGGGGAGUACGGCCGCAAGGCUAAAACUCAAAGGAAUUGACGGGUCCCCGCACAAGCGGCGGAGCAUGCGGCGUAAUUCGAUGCAACCCGAAGAACCUUACCUAGGUUUGACAUUAUGGGAAAAGCCAUGGAAACAUGGUGUGCGGGAGCGUCCAUAACAGGUGGUGCAUGGCUGUCGUCAGCUCGUGUCGUGAGAUGUUGGGUUAAGUCCCGCAACGAGCGCAACCCUCGUCCUAUGUUGCCAGCGGGUAAUGCCGGGGACUCAUAGGAGACCGCCGGGGACAACUCGGAGGAAGGUGAGGAUGACGUCAAGUCAGCAUGCCCCUUACACCUAGGGCUGCACGCAUGCUACAAUGGCCGGUACAACGGGCUGCGAUCCCGCGAGGGUGAGCGAAUCCCUUAAAGCCGGCCCCAGUUCGGAUUGGAGUCUGCAACUCGACUCCAUGAAGCCGGAGUCGCUAGUAAUCGCGGAUCAGCAAAGCCGCGGUGAAUACGUUCUCGGGGAUUGUACACACCGCCCGU
rnacentral:rRNA from 1 species